rnacentral:rRNA from 1 species
CUGCAGCCCGAGUGGUGAUCGAUUUUAUUGAGCCUAAAGCGUCCGUAGCCGGACUAGUAAACCCUUGGGUAAAUUGGGCAGCUUAACUGUCCAAAUUCCGAGGGGACUGCCAGACUUGGGACCGGGAGAGGUCAGAGGUACUCCAGGGGUAGGGGCUAAAUCCUGUAAUCCUUGGGGGACCACCAGUGGCGAAGGCGUCUGACUAGAACGGAUCCGACGGUAAGGGACGAAACCCUGGGGCGCAAACCGGAUUAGAUACCCGAGUAGUC